AUUAAUAAGCGGAGGAAAAGAAACUAACAAGGAUUCCCUCAGUAACGGCGAGUGAAGCGGGAAAAGCCCAGCACCGAAUCCCCCGCUGUAACCGGCGGCGGGAACUGUGGUGUUAAGGACAGCCGAUGGGGAUCGGUCGGGAGUCCGAGUCCUCCUGAUCGUGGCUUCACCCAGAGCGGGUGUCAGGCCUCUACGGCGCCCGGCCGAUUCUCUAAGGUCGUCCUAGGAGUCGGGUUGUUUGAGAAUGCAGCCCAAAGCGGGUGGUAAACUCCAUCUAAGGCUAAAUACAGACACGAGUCCGAUAGCGCACAAGUACCGUGAGGGAAAGUU
rnacentral:rRNA from 1 species